UGGGGUCUUUAUUGAACUUGGUGUUCAUGA
rnacentral:piRNA from 1 species